rnacentral:rRNA from 1 species
GAAGCCGCCGCGUGAGCGAGUGGUGGAGGCUGUGGGAGUGAGAAUGCAGGCAUGAGUAGCGAAUCACACGUGAGAAACGUGUGCGCCGGAUGACCAAGGGUUCCUGGGGCAGGCUAAUCCGCCCAGGGUAAGUCGGGACCUAAGGCGAGGCCGACAGGCGUAGUCGAUGGACAACGGGUUGAUAUUCCCGUACCCGCUGGUAUGCGCCAACGCUGAAUCCGCUGAUGCUAACCGUCUGAUCCGGCCUUACCUGCUCCUUCGGGGGUGGGGGGUGUCCGGGGAACACGGGACCCGAGGUGGUAGUAGGUGAGCGAUGGGGUGACGCAGGAGGGUAGCUCAGCCCGGGCGAUGGUUGUCCCGGGGUAAGCCUGUAGCCCGCACCAUAGGUAAAUCCGUGGUGCAUUUAAGGGUGAGAGGUGAUGCCGAGCCGUUUUAGGUGAAGUGAGUGAUCCCAUGCUGCCGAGAAAAGCCUCUAGUGAGUGUACCGGCGGCCCGUACCCCAAACCGACUCAGGUGGUCAGGUAGAGAAUACCAAGGCGAUCGGGUGAACUGUGGUUAAGGAACUCGGCAAAUUGCCCCCGUAACUUUGGGAGAAGGGGGACCAUGCCCGGUGACCGGCUUUACGUCGUGAGCUGGGGGUGGUCGCAGAGGCCAGGGGGAAGCGACUGUUUACUAAAAACACAGGUCCGUGCGAAGUCGUAAGACGCUGUAUACGGACUGACGCCUGCCCGGUGCCGGAACGUUAAGAGGACCGGUUAGAUCCCGUAAGGGGUCGAAGCUGAGAAUCUAAGCGCCGGUAAACGGCGGUGGUAACUAUAACCAUCCUAAGGUAGCGAAAUUCCUUGUCGGGUAAGUUCCGACCUGCACGAAUGGCGUAACGACUUCCCCGCUGUCUCAACCACAGGCCCGGCGAAAUUGCAGUACGAGUAAAGAUGCUCGUUUCGCGCAGCAGGACGGAAAGACCCCGGGACCUUCACUACAGCUUGGCAUUGGCGUUUGGAACGGUUUGUGUAGGAUAGGUGGGAGACUGUGAAGCAUGCACGCCAGUGUGUGUGGAGUCAUUGGUGAAAUACCACUCUGGUCGUUUUGAGCGUCUAACCCGCACCCGUGGAUCCGGGUGGGGGACAGUGCCUGGUGGGUAGUUUAACUGGGGCGGUUGCCUCCCAAAGAGUAACGGAGGCGCCCAAAGGUUCCCUCAGCCUGGUUGGCAAUCAGGUGGCGAGUGCAAGGGCACAAGGGAGCUUGACUGUGAGACAGACAUGUCGAGCAGGUGCGAAAGCAGGGCCUAGUGAUCCGGCACCGACGUGUGGAAGUGGUGUCGCUCAACGGCUAAAAGGUACCCCGGGGAUAACAGGCUGAUCUUCCCCAAGAGUCCAUAUCGACGGGAUGGUUUGGCACCUCGAUGUCGGCUCGUCGCAUCCUGGGGCUGGAGUAGGUCCCAAGGGUUGGGCUGUUCGCCCAUUAAAGCGGCACGCGAGCUGGGUUUAGAACGUCGCGAGACAGUUCGGUCCCUAUCCGCUGCGCGCGUAGGAGAAUUGAGAGGAUCUGUCCCUAGUACGAGAGGACCGGGACGGACGAACCUCUGGUGUGCCAGUUGUCCCGCCAGGGGCACGGCUGGUUGGCUACGUUCGGCAGGGAUAACCGCUGAAAGCAUCUAAGCGGGAAGCCUUCCUCAAGAUGAGUUCUCCCCACCCUUGUGGUGGUAAGGCCCCCAACAGACUAUUGGGUUGAUAGGCCGGAGAUGGAAGCACGGUAACGUGUGGAGUCGACCGGUACUAAUAGGCCGAGUGGCUUGAACAC